rnacentral:rRNA from 1 species
GAUGAACGCUGGCGGCGUGCCUAAUACAUGCAAGUCGAGCGAACGGACGAGAAGCUUGCUUCUCUGAUGUUAGCGGCGGACGGGUGAGUAACACGUGGAUAACCUACCUAUAAGACUGGGAUAACUUCGGGAAACCGGAGCUAAUACCGGAUAAUAUUUUGAACCGCAUGGUUCAAAAGUGAAAGACGGUCUUGCUGUCACUUAUAGAUGGAUCCGCGCUGCAUUAGCUAGUUGGUAAGGUAACGGCUUACCAAGGCAACGAUGCAUAGCCGACCUGAGAGGGUGAUCGGCCACACUGGAACUGAGACACGGUCCAGACUCCUACGGGAGGCAGCAGUAGGGAAUCUUCCGCAAUGGGCGAAAGCCUGACGGAGCAACGCCGCGUGAGUGAUGAAGGUCUUCGGAUCGUAAAACUCUGUUAUUAGGGAAGAACAUAUGUGUAAGUAACUGUGCACAUCUUGACGGUACCUAAUCAGAAAGCCACGGCUAACUACGUGCCAGCAGCCGCGGUAAUACGUAGGUGGCAAGCGUUAUCCGGAAUUAUUGGGCGUAAAGCGCGCGUAGGCGGUUUUUUAAGUCUGAUGUGAAAGCCCACGGCUCAACCGUGGAGGGUCAUUGGAAACUGGAAAACUUGAGUGCAGAAGAGGAAAGUGGAAUUCCAUGUGUAGCGGUGAAAUGCGCAGAGAUAUGGAGGAACACCAGUGGCGAAGGCGACUUUCUGGUCUGUAACUGACGCUGAUGUGCGAAAGCGUGGGGAUCAAACAGGAUUAGAUACCCUGGUAGUCCACGCCGUAAACGAUGAGUGCUAAGUGUUAGGGGGUUUCCGCCCCUUAGUGCUGCAGCUAACGCAUUAAGCACUCCGCCUGGGGAGUACGACCGCAAGGUUGAAACUCAAGGGAAUUGACGGGGACCCGCACAAGCGGUGGAGCAUGUGGUUUAAUUCGAAGCAACGCGAAGAACCUUACCAAAUCUUGACAUCCUUUGACAACUCUAGAGAUAGAGCUUUCCCCUUCGGGGGACAAAGUGACAGGUGGUGCAUGGUUGUCGUCAGCUCGUGUCGUGAGAUGUUGGGUUAAGUCCCGCAACGAGCGCAACCCUUAAGCUUAGUUGCCAUCAUUAAGUUGGGCACUCUAAGUUGACUGCCGGUGACAAACCGGAGGAAGGUGGGGAUGACGUCAAAUCAUCAUGCCCCUUAUGAUUUGGGCUACACACGUGCUACAAUGGACAAUACAAAGGGCAGCGAAACCGCGAGGUCAAGCAAAUCCCAUAAAGUUGUUCUCAGUUCGGAUUGUAGUCUGCAACUCGACUACAUGAAGCUGGAAUCGCUAGUAAUCGUAGAUCAGCAUGCUACGGUGAAUACGUUCCCGGGUCU